AUCUUGAUAUGGAACACCUGUGAGGUGGGAUGGAUUAUCUCAGCAAAGGAGAAGUGCUCACUGUCACACAUUUAGACAGAUUUGUGAACAAUAUUUGAGAGAAAUGGUGAUAUUGUGUUUGUGGAAAAAGUUUUAGAUCUUUGAGUUCAUCUCAUAAAAAAUGGGAGCAACAACAAAAGUGUUGUUUAUAUUUUGUUGGAUGUAUUUUACACACAUGUAUGUAUCUGCUGUGAUUCUUCAGAUUUUUCUUUAUUUUCAGCUAAAAUCAGUGAAUUUUCUUGUUCCUCUCGUUGUUCCUCACGUUAAUCAAACGUCUAAAAGCUGAACUGUGUUUUCUGUGAAGCGACGGCAGCAGAACACGAUGAAACCGUUUAAAGUUCAGCCUUCAGUCUUUUUAUGAAACUCGAUCAGCCGAAGGUUGAACAGAAACCAACAGAGAACGUUGUGGGAACCAAAAGGACUGAAGGCCUCGGAGCUGCUGCAGGUUUUACACAGAAUUCCUUCACUUCUUUAAUUAUUUCUAAAUGAUUUUAUCCUCCAGGGUUCAGAGGAAAGAGACGAGUCCACGCCUAAGAACGUUCUGCUGGAUCCCGGUUCCACGUCCCGUUCUGGUUUUCUCUGAUCUUCAUGAAGAGGAAAAACUGUGAAACGAACGUCUGCUGCAGAUUCACAGCCGAAAGAUGAAGAAAGUUUGGAUCCGAAAAUCAUCAAAUGUUCAUUUAUUGAAACAUUACCUUUAGCAAAAAUUAUCAAUGACUGUGGUUUUAAAAAACUGUAAAAACUGAAUAAAAAUCAGUAAAAUCCUGAUUUUGUCAGAAACAGAAACUAAAAGCACAAAAGUUAUUAAAAAUAUCUUGUUUGUCAGACCUAGAAAGUUCCUAAACAGAAUAAAAAUCACUAAAAAUGACUGUGAGGUGUAAAAACACCAACAAAAAAUGAGUGAAAAUGCUGUUUUUAGGUGGAUAAAGUCACUUUUUCUGCUCUUCUCCUGUAAAACUUCCAGUUUUUCUGACAUUUUAAUUUGUUUUAUUGAACUUUUCUGCUCUAUUCUGUGUUUGUUUUAAACUUUUAAAGCUGCUGUCACGUUUUUAUUUCAGCUCCUCUGAUGUGUUUGUUCUCCACCUCCUUUAAAUAAACUGAGUUAUUGUUCAAA